rnacentral:rRNA from 1 species
CCUACGGGUGGCAGUAGUGGGGAAUAUUGCACAAUGGGGGAAACCCUGAUGCAGCAACGCCGCGUGAGUGAAGAAGUAUUUCUGUAUGUCAAGCUCUAUCAGCAGGGAAGAAGAAAGACGGUACCUGACUAAGCAGCCCCGGCUAACUACGUGCCAGCAGCCGCGGUAAUACGUAGGGGGCAAGCGUUAUCCGGAUUUACUGGGUGUAAUGGGAGCGUAGGCGGCUGUGUAAGUCUGAAGUGAAAGCCCGUGGCUCAACCGCGGAACUGCAGUGGAAACUGUAUAGCUGGAGUACUGGAGGGGUAGGCGGAAUUCCUAGGGUAGCGGUGAAAUGCGUAAAUAGUACGAGGAAAACCAGUGGCGAAGGCGGCCUGCGGCACAGGAACUGACGCUGAGGCUCGAUGGCGUUGGUAGCAAACAGGAUUAGAUACCCCUGUAGUC